rnacentral:rRNA from 1 species
UACGGGGGGGGCAAGCGUUGUUCGGAAUUACUGGGCGUAAAGGGCGCGUAGGCGGCCAACUAAGUCGGACGUGAAAUCCCCAGGCUCAACCUGGGAACUGCGUCCGAUACUGGAUGGCUUGAAUCCGGGAGAGGGAUGCAGAAUUCCAGGUGUAGCGGUGAAAUGCGUAGAUAUCUGGAGGAAUACCGGUGGCGAAGGCGGCAUCCUGGACCGGCAUUGACGCUGAGGAGCGAAAGCCAGGGGAGCAAACGGG